AAAAUGAGGAACACUAAAUAAAUCAGCCAGCAAACAAAGUUCUUAGGAAAAUUAGCAGUAGCUCCUCCACCCAAGGCUGAACUGAAAGCCCAGAGUCUGAGGAGUAGGUCUGAAUGCUAGGGUAAUAAUGGAGGUUUCAGAGUAAACACCAUAGGCAGGUAAUAAUGAAGCCACCCUGUUGCCAGGCCAACAGACAUUGAACUCUGGUCAGACUCCCUUUAAACCUCUGGCCGAAAUCACCCGUCACUGUGAAUUUACACUGAGUGAAGGAGGAGACAACAACGUUAAGUGUCACGCAUGGCCUUUCACGUUUGGAAACAACUUCGGACAACUUAACUCCAGGAGACGCAGCCUCUUUAAGAUGAAAGAUUCUCAAACUUAGUUGUCAUCUGCAGCUCUCAGAAGAAAAGAACAAAGAACACGCUAAAGGGGAGCAGAAUAUGUAGUUCAUCAACAUCGCCUUUUGGUAUUAAAUAGCUGGCUCUGGCUUUGCUCACGAAACCAUGGGUCUCCACGCCAUUUGACAUAAGAGCAGAGAACAUAAAGAAACAGCAAAUUUG